rnacentral:lncRNA from 1 species
GUUCGUCGGGAUGCCCAUUUUUACCCAAGUCGUCGACUUAGCAGGUCAUUCUUAUGCAAAAUAUUUUUUGACUACGUCUGCGUUUACAGGGAGUGGAAAAUCCUCACCAUCCAUAGUAGUGAGCAUCAUGGCUCCGCCAUAGAAAAUCUUCCUUAUCACAUAUGACCCUUCAUAAUUCGGAGUCCACUUGCUCCUGAGAUCAAACUGAGGAAGAAUAAUUCUUUUCAACACAAGGUCACCAGCUUGGUAACUCUGAGUACGAACUCUUCGAUCGAAC